rnacentral:miRNA from 1 species
CUCCUAAUCUAGGCUCAAGUGUUGUGGAGGGGAGAUGGGGAAAAUUUGUGGAGUAGAUAGUGUCUCAGAUAACAAACAUCUUCUGAAUUUAAGUAGACAUUUAGGUGAAAUAUG